GGGCUCGUAGUCUAGCGGUUAUCUCAAGUAGAGACUGCAGAUGACGACACCCUUACAAGGUGUAGGUCCCCGGUUCAAAUCCGGGCGGGCCCA
rnacentral:tRNA from 1 species